CAAAAACAUAGCCCUAAGAACAUAUUUAGGGUGAGCCCUGCCCGGUGACGAAAGUUCAACGGCCGCAGUACCUUGACUGUGCUAAGGUAGCGUAAUCAGUUGGCUUUUAAAUGGAGUCUAGUAUGAAUGGGACCAUGGGGGAAAGCUGUCUCAAACUUAUAUUUUGAACUUAUUAUUAAGGUGAAAAUACCUUUUUUUAAUUAAAAGACGAGAAGACCCUUAGAGUUUUAAUAAAUUGUUUUUAUACAAUACUUUUUUGUUGGGGCGACGCGGAGACAAAAAACUCUCCUUCUUAUACUUUACUUGCCGACUUCUAGUAAGUAAGAAUAAACUACCUUAGGGAUAACAGCAUAAUUUUUUAUAAAGCUUAUGACCUCGAUGUUGGACUAGGGACUUUAUGACUAGCCGUCAAAAUAGCA
rnacentral:rRNA from 1 species